AGUGGCUUUCUUUCCUUUUUCAAUUCCAAGUCAUGAACAGAGUAAGGCUGAUUUACUAUUUCACCCACUUGAUGACUCUCCUUCACUUCAGAUUUCCCAGUAUCUUCUCUCUCAGUAACCCUUGUGGCUAAUCUCUUCAAUUCAUAGCAGAAAUCUGAGAUAUGACCAAAUAUGUCUCUCCCUGAAAACAGAUUUCUAGCUGAUUGUG